rnacentral:rRNA from 1 species
UUAAAUUGAAGAGUUUGAUCAUGGCUCAGAUUGAACGCUGGCGGAAGGCCUAACACAUGCAAGUCGAACGGUAACA